CACAGGAGAGGAAGAACGCCGGCAGGGUCCGACGCCCAAGGUCACAGCACCCAGGUCAGAGAGGGCACUGAAGGCCAAGACCCACAGGGUGUUGGACAGGUCGCGGCUGGUCAGCUCUGACUUGAAAGUGGCACUAACUCUGCUUUCCCAAGAAAACCAAAAUAAAUGAGCCUGUUGGAGAAGAGCCCUCACCUCUAGUUAUGGACUUUAGGAAUGAAUGAGUCAAUUAAGAGCUACGCCUUACUUCUGAUAUAGUAAACUUAGAGAUGUACUAGAACAUGGUAGGUCCUUGUUCCUUAUCCCAAGGGUGAAUGACCUUGUUGGUCUCAGAUCAGAUGUUAUCCCAGGUAUGUGUAAAAGCCAGUCCCUCAGGAUGGUCCCUGGUGUUCCCUGCCUCUGAUAACUGCAGCCCCAGCCAAAAUCUGAUGGCAUUCUCAUGAAAGACCACAAACAAGAACAUUCAGGUCAAGCCCUUUCCAAAUGCCUGACCCAUAGAAACCAUGAGAGAGAAUGUGUGACUAUUGUUGUCUUAAGCCAUUACGUUUAGGAUAAUUUAUUACUGGUACAGCAUGUACUGAGGUGAUGUUAAGUCAAUGAAGGGGAUUCAGCAGAGAACUAAAUCGCAAGACUUGUAUCUUCGAAAUAAUUCUGCCUGUGGUGUGGAAGUUGGAUACCAAGGGAAGAAGCUGGGAAACUAAAGGCAGGACAUUAGUUAGGAAGCGAUAGCACCACCCAGGCCUGAUGUCGUGGGAGCAAAACUCUUUAAAGGUCCCCUGAGGACGAUCAGGAAGGGCUACUGGCCAGCAGCAAGAGGAGAUGCAGAGAAAAAGAAUAGAAAAUACAAAUUUCAAUGACGCACAUUUUUCACUCUUUGGCAUUUUCUUUCCCUUAUGG